rnacentral:rRNA from 1 species
GAUGAACGCUAGCUACAGGCUUAACACAUGCAAGUCGAGGGGAAACGGCAUUAAGUGCUUGCACUCUUUGGACGUCGACCGGCGCACGGGAGAGUAACGCGUAUCCCACCUUCCCAUGACUAAUUGAUAACCUGCCGAAUGGCAGACUAAUACCUCUUGUUCUUCACUGACGGCAUUAGAUGUUAAGUACAGUUGUAUCUGUUAUGGAUGGGGAUGCGGCUGAUUAGCUUGUUGGCGGGGUAACGGCCCAUCAAGGCGACGAUUAGUAGGGGUUCGGAGGGGAAGGGCCCUCACAUUGGAACUGGGCAACGGGCCAAAGUCCUACGGGAGGCAGCAGUGAGGAAUGUUGGUGAAUGGGAGAGUGCCUGAACCAGCCAAGUAGCGUGCAGGAUGGCGGCGCUAUGGAUUGUAGACUGCUUUUGGAUGGGGGUAAUGGCAAGCACGUGAGAUUGAUUGCAGGUACCAUACGAAGAAGGACCGGCUAAUUCCGUG